rnacentral:lncRNA from 10 species
GAUUCCAAGGAUUGAGAAGUUUUGCAGUGGUCAACUGGUAUAGACAUCCCAUUACCACUACUUCCUUCAUUGGACUGCAAGGUAUUUCUGUUUGGAAAAGUAAUGGAGUCCAGUCAACUUCAUUGAUCGCCAAGGACUGUCAAAAUUAUAAAACUUGCUGUGGAGCUCUGACAUGCCAGAAGCCGCUAGAAAAAGAAGUUUGACAUUCAGAAACUUAUCAAGAGGUUCUACUCUUUGGAUAGAGACCAAAAUCAUACUUUGAAUGAUAUGCAAUGCAAGACUCCCAAGAUUCUGGGCAGUGGCAGGGAGGUGCAGCUUCUAGUCUGCCGCAUGAUCACAAUGAAAGCCUGACAGGUUUCUUCGGAAAAGUGGCCAUCCAUGGAAUGAAUGAAAUGUUCUCUUUCUAUUCCACCUCUAGAGACCAUCAAAAAACAAUGGCUCAUAAUGCUUUUAGAACAGAAACUGAAGUUGUAUACUGUGCAUAUGUAAUCCUACACAAGAGGAAGGCAAUGUUUAAAGCUGCUGUCACCUCUUAGGGAAAAAACUGGAAUUCUGAGUCAAGGGAUUGCAGUGGCAAAGCUAGGCUAGGUCUUGGAGGCUGGUGUAAGGCGAUGUGGGUGAAGGCAGGAGGCUGAUGGAAAGACUGGGGGGAAGAAAAGCCGAAAUGGAUUCACGGUGCCUUGGAUGAAGGACGAGAGGGGAACUGCAAGCUCCUUCAACUGGUUCUGUCCGGUGAGAAGUGAUCAAGCUUGGGCUGACAAGAGGCUCAGGGAGCCCUCACGUUCUUUCGCUUUUUUACCUGCCAAUCAAACUGCUACAAGACAACACCCUGAUCUGGCAUGGACAU